AUUCCUCAACUCCUAUUACUCAACUCUUUGCUGCUUUUUCAAUAAAGCAUUUCUACUGCUUGGACAUUUUACAAUCAUACAGGAAUAGAGGUAAUGAACUGCGAGGUGAAGCAUGCGCUGCACUGCGCCGUACUAGUGGCGUGGAUCGUAUGUUUUGCCUACUUCUGCGGCGUGUUCACGGAGCCGGUAGAAGGAUCCGUUCCAGAAAGUCCAGUUGCAAGCUACGGACUCAUUUGGACAGUAUGCUUGUACUUACUCCGAUUCACUGCUCUUCUCGUCUUGCCACAAUGUCUUUGCAAUCUUGGCGGGUUGAUGAUGUUCAAUGCAUUUAGAGAAAAAGUCCAACUGAAGGCAGCACCUCUUCUCUCACCAUUUGUCUGUUUCCGGGUUGUAACCAAAGGAAACUUUCCGCUUCUCGUUAAGGAGAACAUUGAUACGAACAUGAAGACAUGCUUUGAAGCUGGAAUGGAAAACUUCAUUUUUGAAGUUGUCACCGACAAGGCCAUCAAUUUACCACCAAAUCCAAGAGUCCGAGAAGUCGUCGUUCCAACUGUAUACAAAACAAAAAGUGGUGCCAAGUUCAAGGCUCGUGCUCUUCAAUAUUGCCUGGAAGACGAUGUGAAUAUUCUUCAGCCAACUGAUUGGAUUGUUCAUCUCGACGAAGAAACACUGCUGACAACGAACGCAAUCUGUGGGAUUCUCAAUUUCUGCGAAGACGGAAAACAUCAAUUUGGACAAGGAGUCAUCACGUAUGCAAACGGAGACAUUGUUAACUGGCUGACAACUCUUAGUGAUUCGUUCAGAGUUGCUGAUGAUAUGGGGAAGCUGAGAUUCCAGUUCAAAUUGUUCCAUAAACCACUUUUCGGAUGGAAAGGAUCUUAUGUGGUGACACAAGUCGAAGCAGAAAGAGAUGUUUCUUAUGAUCAUGGAAUGGAAGGAUCGAUUGCUGAGGAUUGUUUCUUUUCGAUGGUUGCAAUGAAACACGGCUACUCGUUUGAUUUUAUUGAAGGAGAAAUGCACGAGAAGAGCCCAUUCACUAUGUGGGACUUUUUGCAACAAAGAAAACGCUGGCUCCAAGGAAUUUUACUCACUGUUCACUCGUCGAAAAUUGCUGUUGUUCAUAAAGCACUUCUUGCUCUGUCAUUGUAUGCCUGGGCCACAAUGCCAUUAACUUCACUUCAAGUAUUCCUCUGUCCACUAUUUCCACUUCCAAGGUGUCUUCCAUUCGAUUUCCUGCUCUCGUUUGUCGGUGCUCUCAAUCUCUACAUGUACAUUUUCGGAGUUGUCAAAUCGUUUUCUCACAAAUAUCGUAAUAGUUUGCUCCGUCUUGCGAUGUAUCUCGCUGGAGCACUGAUGACUAUUCCAUUCAACAUACUUAUCGAGAAUGCAGCUGUUCUUGUUGGAAUGUUUGGACGGAAGGAUCAAUUCUAUAUCGUUAACAAAGAUAUUCAAACUGUAUAAUACUGAAUUAGUACAAACACGAUCUGA
rnacentral:misc_RNA from 1 species